UACGUAGGGUGCAAGCGUUAAUCGGAAUUACUGGGCGUAAAGCGUGCGCAGGCGGUGAUGUAAGACAGUUGUGAAAUCCCCGGGCUCAACCUGGGAACUGCAUCUGUGACUGCAUCGCUGGAGUGCGGCAGAGGGGGGGAUGGAAUUCCGCGUGUAGCAGUGAAAUGCGUAGAUAUGCGGAGGAACACCGAUGGCGAAGGCAAUCCCCUGGGCCUGCACUGACGCUCAUGCACGAAAGCGUGGGGAGCAAACAGG
rnacentral:rRNA from 1 species